GCUCCAACCAGCCUGUCUGCUUUUCACAGGGGAGAUUGACUGACACUUGAAUCGCCCUCCUGCUCAAGAUUACAAGGUCGGCUCAAGUCUUGCAGCGAGAUUGGAGCGAGACCAAAGAUGCAGCGGAAGAAUCGUCCAGGAACUCCAUUAUCUCAGCUACAAGGAAUGAGAAAUGGAAUUAAAACACCCAAAACAAGCCUCCUCAUGCUGACCCAGCAACCACAGCCACAUCGAGGGUACACUUUCCCGUGCAGGCCGAUCACAUUCCAUUGUCAGUCAGCCGUGAGGGGAAGCAUCAGAGUGACAAAAG